GACGUAGGGUGCAAGCGUUAUCCGGAUUUACUGGGUUUAAAGGGUGCGUAGGCGGGUCUUUAAGUCAGUGGUGAAAACUCCGAGCUUAACUCGGAAACUGCCAUUGAUACUAUUGAUCUUGAAUUUAGUUGAGGUUGGCGGAAUGUGUCGUGUAGCGGUGAAAUGCUUAGAUAUGACACAGAACACCGAUUGCGAAGGCAGCUGGCUAAACUAAAAUUGACGCUGAGGCACGAAAGUGUGGGGAUCAAACAGG
rnacentral:rRNA from 1 species